rfam:Schistosoma rodhaini strain Burundi genome assembly, scaffold: SROB_scaffold0009261
AUCUAGCUGACGAAACCCAAAUAGGAUGAAACGCGCUUCAAACUGGAU